rnacentral:rRNA from 1 species
AUGGCGCUUCGCGCGGCGGAGCUCCGGCGACUCCUCCUCCUCCGCGGCAGGGCGGUCCUCCCGCUCCCGCUCGCGUCGCGCUGCCGGCCGGCGAGCACGGCCGCCCGUGACGACGAGGGAGCAGGGGGCAACGCCUACGACGUGCUUGGGGUGGGAGAGACGAGCUCCUCCGCGGAGAUCAAGGCCUCCUUCCACCGCCUCGCGAAGGAGACCCACCCCGACGUCGCUGCCGCCGCCGGUUCCCGCCGGUUCCUUCAGAUCCUCGCGGCCUACGAGAUCCUAUCCGAUUCGCAGCGAAGAGCUCAUUAUGACAGCUUCCUGCGCUCGCAGAGGCUAGUUAUACAGAAGCAUCCCAGGCCAUCGCAAUAUGUAUAUCCAUAUCCAUAUAGUUCAGGCAUUGUGAUGCCUAGAGAAAGUAAUGUUGUCGAGUGGCUUAAAUGGUACAGGCUCACUGUCGAUGACAUUGUUACAAAAAAGAGGAUUGCGACGGGUUCAGGUUAUUUCGAUAGACUUGAGAGUGAACUGUACUCUGCAGUCCAUGCUGCAUACUAUGGCCCCGAGGUUGAGUCCACGGAUCUCCUUCCUGAUUGCUUUGAAGCCGAGGAGAGGUCUGUGUAUGAGACACCUGAGCUAUUGCACCUUGUAUCUGGCCGUGACCUGCUUGGUAUUGUCAGUCUAGUGGAUGGCGUCCGAGAGCUGUCUGAUGCUUGUCGUGAGAAGCUGACACAUUCUGGUUCUGGAGCCUGCGGCUUUUGUCCAAAUGUUGCAGUAAAUGGGGAGAAAUGUUCAAUACCUAGGCAUGCAGAUAUUCACAAGCAAGAGAAUGAGGAUAGUGACAGUAUCCCAUCAGAUGCCUACAAGGACAUUGAAUUGCAGAUAUGUGGGAGAGUAGUGGCCACUGCAAAUAGGAGGCUCAAGUGCAAUUGCAUUGACAAUUCAGACAUGGAAGAUCACAUACAUGUUUUUCUUGUUCCAAAUGAGGUGGUUGCACCUGAUGUGACACAAGAGCAUCUCCUCCUUGGAACAAUCACUGGGUUGGACACCAGUGGAGAGGAAGGAUCUUGCUGUGUCUAUGAUGGCCAUGGAAUAAAGACCCACGUAAUUGUUAAGCACAGGACACUGAUGGUUAAACACAUGCACUGGUAUCAAUUUGGAGAUGAAGUUUCACCCUGCGAGUGUCGAUGUAGCAGGGCUCGGUUGCCACCCAGCAGGUUUUGGCUUUUUGAGCCACGGUGUUACAUGCAUGACACUGGUGGUUGGUACAUCGAGACAUUUGGGAGAGACAAGAAAGGGAGGACAAUUCCAUCGCCGAGACAUUGGCAUGGUGUCAAUGAACAUUCUGAAAAGAGAUUGCAUCCAGCACUGUAUCUGGUGGCUCUGGCAUACAGAUCUUUAGAUCUUGAGGAUGCUCAAAGAAGAAAAUGGAGCUUUAGGAGUUUCCUAGAGCUGCAGUUGUCUCAUAUUCUUCAGUUAAGCAAAAAAAUCUUUAGUGGUAAAAAAGGAGUUGAUAUGGGAGCACCAUGA